CCUGCACCCUGAAUAUGUUCAUGAGUAUGGAAUUAUAUCAAACUAAAAUACAUAUCCAUAUCGAUUCUCAAUUAACCAAUGAUGACUCCGAUGAUGAAGUAUUAGAAACUCUUUCUAAUCUCCUUCCUACUUUUGGUCAAAAGAUUUUUUCUGAGUCAUCUAGGGAUGAGAAUACAUAGGAUACGAUCUUCUCUUACUAGGAGUGAUCGAUUUCAUAUUGACCGACUCAUAACCUUCAUACACACUCCACUAUAUCCAAAAUAUUCUAUACAUAUCUUAAUGCCAUCCCUGAGUAUGAACCAAAAUAUAGAUUC
rnacentral:lncRNA from 1 species